rnacentral:rRNA from 1 species
CAGUCGCCGCGGUAAUACGUAUGUCACAAGCGUUAUCCGGAUUUAUUGGGCGUAAAGCGCGUCUAGGCGGUUAAUUAAGUCUGAUGUGAAAAUGCGGAGCUCAACUCCGUAUUGCGUUGGAAACUGGUUAACUAGAGUACUGGAGAGGUAAGCGGAACUACAAGUGUAGAGGUGAAAUUCGUAGAUAUUUGUAGGAAUGCCGAUGGGGAAGCCAGCUUACUGGACAGAUACUGACGCUAAAGCGCGAAAGCGUGGGUAGCAAACAGGAUUAGAGACCCCCGUAGUCCCUGUCUCUUAUACA